rnacentral:rRNA from 1 species
CGGGUGAGUAACGCGUGAGGAACCUGCCUCAAAGAGGGGGACAACAGUUGGAAACGACUGCUAAUACCGCAUAAGCCCACGGCUCGGCAUCGAGCAGAGGGAAAAGGAGCAAUCCGCUUUGAGAUGGCCUCGCGUCCGAUUAGCUAGUUGGUGAGGUAAUGGCCCACCAAGGCGACGAUCGGUAGCCGGACUGAGAGGUUGAACGGCCACAUUGGAACUGAGACACGGUCCAA